GAGAAUGUUCCCAAUGAGAUCCUAGUAAUAUUCCCCUCCAUAUUUCUUUUGAAGUCUCCUAGCCUCUCAAGAUCUUGCUAUCAUUUGCUGUAAAGUCCCCUGUAGACGAGAGCUCAAAAAUGGUUUGCUACUUCCUAUUUUUCCUUUUGCAGCAUUAAAAUCAAAUUGGAGAGACCAACAAAGCAUCCAAAAUCUUCUUUCGAGAUAAUUCUUUCUCUUUGAGGUCAUGGGAGAACAUACUUCGGAAGACAGGUGACCUUGCAGCAAGAACAGCACGAUGCGCCCCAAUACUUCCAUCAGAAGCAUUGAUUAUGAUGUCUGUGUGAAUGCUUUCGGACAACAUACGGCCAAGUGAUGUCAGAGCAGUAGCAUUUGAUUGUUUUUCGGUUAAUCCUUCAGUCCAGAUUGAGCACAGCUCACCACUCUGCAAGUUCACAAAACACAAUGAACAUGAAUGAGGAAAACCAUGGUAAUCUUACAACUCCUUAUGUAAGAUUGUAUUAUGGCAAACAUGCUCCUUAUGUAUUAUGGCAAACAUGUUGGUAGCAAAUGAAUUGUAUUAUGGUAAACAUGCUCCUUAUGUAUAUAUGCACAUAAAGAAAAGAUGAGGAAACAGUA